rnacentral:rRNA from 1 species
GACGAACGCUGGCGGCGUGCCUAACACAUGCAAGUCGAACGGAGUGAAGCCCUUCGGGACUUUACUUAGUGGCGAACGGGUGAGUAACGCGUGAGGAACCUGCCUUUCAGUGGGGGACAACAGUUGGAAACGACUGCUAAUACCGCAUGAUACUUUUUGGAGGCAUCUCUGGAAAGUCAAAGAUUUAUUGCUGAAAGAUGGCCUCGCGUCUGAUUAGCUAGUUGGUGGGGUAACGGCCCACCAAGGCGACGAUCAGUAGCCGGUCUGAGAGGAUGAACGGCCACAUUGGGACUGAGAUACGGCCCAGACUCCUACGGGAGGCAGCAGUGGGGAAUAUUGGGCAAUGGGGGAAACCCUGACCCAGCAACGCCGCGUGAAGGAAGAAGGCCUUCGGGUUGGUAAACUUCUUUUACCAGGGACGAAAAAAGUAGACGGUACCUGGAGAAAAAGACAACGGCUAACUAACGUGCCAGCAG